rnacentral:sRNA from 1 species
CUUGAGUCAUCAGUACCUUCAGAUGGAGAUUUUGCUAGAUUUCGGUGAGAAUUUGUUUACCAUGCUAACUCCAGGCAGAGUAAAUUAGAAAAAGAAUCCAUUAUCAAAUGUAAUAUUUAGACAUAAUUGGCACCUUACAAAUUGUAUUAUCUGGCUUCUUGAUGCCUUGUGCAUUGGAGAUUAGAAUAUAUAGUAUCUUCUAAAAUGUUUAUAUUUUAAAGCCUACUUUUUCCUAUUAUCUUUGCAACUUGGAGGCUAACAUCUGAGUGAAAAUAAUUCUCAGGUUGAGUUCUUAGUUAGUUGUUGUUGCUGCUGUUGUUGUUUUGAGAUGGAGUCUCACCCUUUCGCCAGGCUGGAGUGCAGUGGCGCAUUCUUGGCUCACUGCAACCUCCGCCUCCCGGGUAGCUGGGAUUACAGGCAUGCAUCACCAUAUCUCGCUAAUUUUUGUGGUUUUGGUAGAGACAGGGUUUCACCAUGUUGGCCAGGCUGGUCUCGAACUCCUAACCUCGUGAUUUGCCCGCCUGGGCCUCCCAAAGUGCUGGGAUUACAGGCUUGAGCCACCACACCCAGCCCUUACUUACUCAGUUUUGUCUGUAGAGUUGUCCCAAAAAUUAUGGAGAUGAGCCAGGCAUGGUGGCUAACACCUAGCACUUUGGAAGUUUGAGGUGGACCGAUUGCUUGAGCCCAGGAGUUGGAGACCACACUGGGCAACAUAGGGAGACCCUGUCUCUGUGAAAAAUAAAAUUAGCCACUUGUGGUGAUACGUGCCUGUGGUCGUAGCUAUUUGGGAGAUUGAGGCAGGAGGAUUGCUUGAGCCCAGGAAGUCAAGGUUGCUAUGAUUUAUGAGCUCUGAUCACACCACUGCACUCCAGGCUGGGCAACAGAACGAGACCUUUUCUAAAAAAAAAAAAAAAAAAAAAAAAAAGCUAUGGAAGUGUAAGGCAGCUUGGUGGUUGGUUGCAAGGGGCUGAAGGAGGGAAAGUAAGGAGUGACUGCUUAAUGGGUGUAGGAUUUCCUUUUUGGGACAAUGAAGUUUUAGAAUUAGAUAGUGGUAUUGAUUGUACAACAUGUUGAAUAGACUAGAUGGCACUGAAUUGCAAACUAAAAUGGUUUAAAAGUUGAAUGUUAUUACUUAUAUUUUACCAGAAUAGAAAAAAGUACGAUUCUCUAAACAUAAGUGAAGUUAGUGCCCAGACAUAUUUGCAAGUGAGGGGCCUUAGUAACUAGUAUAGAGAAAGUAGCUGUUCUCUGCGGAAGCUAUCACUUGAUACUAAUCACUAGGCAGGUAUAGAAUGUCCUAGAGUUGAGCAAGCCUCAAAAACUCACUUCAGUUUAGUCCUCCUGAAUCUCAGUGGAACAGAGCUAGAAUAGUUUAAAAGACAUAGAGGCAGCUGGUGGGUGGGCCAUGCCUGUAAUCCCAGCACUUUGGGAGGCCAAGGUGGGUGGAUCACGAGGUCAGGAGUUCGAGACCAGCUUGGCCAACAUAGUGAAACCCCGUCUCUACUAAAAA